rnacentral:rRNA from 1 species
CUACGGGCCGCACCAGUGGGGAAUAUUGCGCAAUGGGCGAAAGCCUGACGCAGCAACGCCGCGUGAGUGAUGAAGGCCUUCGGGUCGUAAAGCUCUGUCGGGAGGGAAGAACACCUUCGGGUCUGACGGUACCUCCCGAGGAAGCACAGGCUAACUCCGUGCCAGCAGCCGCGGUAAUACGGAGUGGGCAAGCGUUGUUCGGAAUUACUGGGCGUAAAGCGCGCGUAGGCGGCUUGAUAAGUCAGAUGUGAAAUCCCUCGGCUUAACCGAGGAACUGCAUUUGAAACUGUCAGGCUUGAGUACGGGAGGGGGAAGCGGAAUUCCCAGUGUAGAGGUGAAAUUCGUAGAUAUUGGGGGGAACACCAGCGGCGAAGGCGGCUUCCUGGACCGAUACUGACGCUGAGGCGCGAAAGCGUGGGGAGCAAACAGGAUUAGAUACCCGAGUAGUC